rnacentral:rRNA from 1 species
GGUCUCCGUUGGUGACCGCGGAGGAUCAUUAAAGAGUUGCAAAACUCCCUAAACCAUUGUGAACAUACCUUCAACGUUGCUUCGGCGGGUUGGCUCCGGGUCUCCCGGGGCCCCCGGCCCUACUCGGGCGCCCGCCGGAGGUAUCUAACUCUUGACAAUUGUAUGGCCUCUCUGAGUCUUUGUACUUAAUAAGUCAAAACUUUCAACAACGGAUCUCUUGGUUCUGGCAUCGAUGAAGAACGCAGCGAAAUGCGAUAAGUAAUGUGAAUUGCAGAAUUCAGUGAAUCAUCGAAUCUUUGAACGCACAUUGCGCCCGCCAGUAUUCUGGCGGGCAUGCCUGUUCGAGCGUCAUUUCAACCAUCAAGCCCCCGGCUUGUGUUGGGGACCUGCGGCUGCCGCAGGCCCUGAAAACCAGUGGCGGGCUCGCUAGUCACUCCGAGCGUAGUAAUACAUCUCGCUCAGGGCGUGCUGCGGGUUCCGGCCGUUAAAAAGCCUUAUUUACCCAAGGUUGACCUCGGAUCAGGUAGGAAGACCCGCUGAACUUAAGCAUAUCAAUAA